rnacentral:sRNA from 1 species
AUAGCACCCAUCGGGGGAAGGUAAGAACCUUCGACCAAGGUUCGCGCCGAGCGUAGCGGCGGCCCGAAGGGUGAGGAACGAAGUGACGAGUAAUCCUUCCCCCACCACCA